CGCCGCGGUUAUACGAGAGGCUCGAGUUGACAAAUACCGGCGUAAAAUGUGGCUAAUUUAUAGUAUUACUAAAGUUAAACAUCUUCAAAACUGUUAUACGCACUCGAAGACAGGAAGCCCUGCCACGAAAGUGACUUUAAAAAUAUUAGCCCACGAAAGCUAGGGAA
rnacentral:rRNA from 1 species